rnacentral:rRNA from 1 species
CCUACGGGAGGCAGCAGUGGGGAAUAUUGCGCAAUGGGCGCAAGCCUGACGCAGCGACGCCGCGUGUGGGAUGAAGGUCUUCGGAUCGUAAACCUCUGUCAGCAGGGAAGAACGGUCACUGUGCUAAUCAGCAGUGAAUUGACGGUACCUGCAAAGGAAGCACCGGCUAACUCCGUGCCAGCAGCCGCGGUAAUACGGAGGGUGCGAGCGUUAAUCGGAAUUACUGGGCGUAAAGCGCUCGUAGGCGGUAUGUCAAGUCAAGUGUGAAAUCCCCGCGCUCAACGUGGGAACUGCCUUUGAAACUGGCAAACUGGAGUGUGUGAGAGGAUAGUGGAAUUCCAGGUGUAGGAGUGAAAUGCGUAGAGAUGUGGAGGAACAUCAGUGGCGAAGGCGACUAUCUGGCACAUAACUGACGCUGAGGAGCGAAAGCGUGGGUAGCAAACAGGAUUAGAUACCCCUGUAGUC